AAGUGUUGCAGCUCCUUCAGAAUUUGUCUAGCAGGUUUUCUAGUAACAACUGGAAAAUGUCCCA